CAAGACCUUGCGCUUUUGGAGCGGCCGAUGUCUGAUUAGCUAGUUGGUGAGGUAAAGGCUUACCAAGGCGUCGAUCAGUAGCUGGUCUGAGAGGACGACCAGCCACACUGGGACUGAGACACGGCCCAGACUCCUACGGGAGGCAGCAGUGGGGAAUUUUGGACAAUGGGGGAAACCCUGAUCCAGCCAUGCCGCGUGAGUGAAGAAGGCCUUCGGGUUGUAAAGCUCUUUCAGCCGGAACGAAACGGUCACGGUUAAUACCCGUGACUACUGACGGUACCGGAAGAAGAAGCACCGGCUAACUACGUGCCAGCAGCCGCGGUAAUGCGUAGGGUGCGAGCGUUAAUCGGAAUUACUGGGCGUAAAGCGUGCGCAGGCGGUUUUGUAAGUCAGAUGUGAAAUCCCCGGGCUUAACCUGGGAACU
rnacentral:rRNA from 1 species